AAUUACAAAUGAAUUAAAUAGUAAGAACUAAAUGCUAACAAAAUCAUAAAGAAAAGACAAUUUAAAUUGAUUAAAAAAUGCAAAAGAAAUAAAACAAAAAGAUAGAAAAAAAAUCGAAAAAUGCAUAAAAUGAGAAAUGGUGGUAGGCAAGUAUUGAACUCAGAACACAAGGGUUGUGAGGCGGGAGCCUCAAUCACUCCCCCAUGGUACACUAUCUAUCAAACAUGGAAAAUGCGUGAUAUAUAAAAAAGAAAAC
rnacentral:lncRNA from 1 species